UGUCAGCCUGUUGUGUAAAACCAAAAAAAAAAAAACAAAGAUGGUACUCAUAAAUACAUUCCAUUAGUGGCUCUGGUUUAGAUGUUGUUGAAUAAAGAUUUUCGAUUCCUCCAGACCUGUCUUAUUAUAUAAUAGCAGUUCUGGAUUAGAUCUCAAAUCUGUAUGUUAGUGAAACCAGGCUUCAGGGUUCAGCAAGAGGUCUGUGUGUGGUGAUUUGACUCCUGAUCUCAUGCUGCCAUAAAUGAUGUGUGUGUUUCAACUAAUCUGCUAUCCAUGACAAAUUUAUGUUGUAGUUUUAACCUUGUAUCGACUUUUUAUGGUGUAGCCCAGGAUGUGAUAAGAAUUUCAGGGACACACGUCUGGAGAUUGUUUAUGUUUGCCUUCCUUUGAUCUGAGCUGAAGAAGGAAGAAGGAAGAGGGAAGACCUCCGCCCAUCUGGCUGAUACCGGAGGGAGCUGGGAGGAGACUGAAGGCCGAAGAAUGCUUCCAAGGCAGGGGUUGCCAUGGAGACGGAAGGGGGGCCAGAAGGAGAGAGUUGGGGAGAAUAAAAGUGUGAGGGCUCCGUUGGCAAGAGGCUUUUUGGGUGUUUGGGGAAGAGUUCGGAGGACAACUGUAACGGUUGAGUGCUUUGACCCGCUGCGUCGGGAAAUCUGGAAUAUUUUUACUUCAUCAUAUAAAAUAAAAUAUUUGCUCCUUCAUAUAAGGGGCUUUAAACGGAAUUUCCAGCCUGGGGUCUCCAAUCGUGUCGCGUAACAGCUGAAGAAUGACGCCAUGUUGCAACUUUGGAGGUGUGGAAAAAGGAAAGACGUCACUUACCUGACCAGAGGAUGUUGAAAGACCUGCAGCAAUGUAACCAUCUGACUGUCCUGAGAGCUCAAAGUCGUACAACUGACCACUCUGCUGCUUAGCAGAAAUAAAAUAACACUUAUUUCCUGCAGACGGGUCACAUGUCUUCGGUUCAGCAACACAAAGCUUUUUGGAACCACAAUCAGUUGUUGUAACAGUGUCCUGCAAAGACAUAUAAAAUACUGAAAUCUUCCACAUUAAGUGAGUUAAACUGAUCUUUUUUUCUUUUCUCCCUUACUCAAGUAUGCAACAAUUAUUUGUGUUUUUUUAUAUCUCACCGAAAGAGGUGCUACUGGGAUUGUAUUUGAUGUCACUGCUGUUGCUGUAGUGUUUACUGCUACUGACAAAGUUGUAUCAGUUCCGACUGGUGCUGCAGUGGUUGCAUUGGUAUCUACAACUGGGGUUGUUGUAUUAACCUCAUUGGUGACAUUGGCAUUGGGAUCUGUCAGGUUUGCCACAGCGGCCUUUAUCACAGGGCUGGGAUUUCCCAAAUCCUCAGUAGCUGAGAAAAAAUAAAUGCAUAAAACUUGAUAGUUACACUUUUGCCCCAGUCAAGACAGUAUAAUUUCUGAAAGAGUUAUUGAGACUGUGUGUCUUAGUUAAUGUAGAAUCGUGUUAAAUAAUAAACUUACUAUCAUUGUAUGCUCCAGAGGAGACAGACACUGUGAAGCCUGUUGCUCUUGAUGUGGAGGUUGGUAGUAAGGCAAGGAAAGUACACUGGAUAUGUUUUCCAUUGACACGGCCUUUCACAGAAUUUGCACUGACCUGCGGAGCAAAGAGAGUUUAAAAAGCAAAAGCACCAAAUAACAUCACAGACAAACUAAAGAUGAGGGAAAGCUGACUAGAUUAAUCGUUUUCGUUGGCAUUUGUCAUAUUUUGUGCAAAUAGGAACAGUUAAUUUGAAAACCAAGUUCUCUUGUUUCUUUUAAUACAUUUGCUUUGGUCUCUAGUAUAAAUGAAUACCCUAAUGAGUCAGAUGGAGUCUUAUUUUCUAACAUAUAGACAUCUUGCCUUCUUAUUGGCUAACAGCAAGGUUGCAAGAUCUCAUCUCCAUGAUUAACAUAGGGAGCCUAAGUCUCCUCCCUUUCCGGUCGGCUCAUGGGUCCUCGGAAGAAUGAAAAAUUGAACACAAGUCAGUGGGGCUGAAAAAGCUAUUUUCUAAUCCGCUUUGCCUUACGCCCUGGAUCACACAUACGUUGAACUGCAAUUUAAAUGAAAAGUAAUGAUGUGUGUUUUGACCACGCCAGUCACGUACUUUGAGGUUUAUCAGCUUGUAAAAUGACAACAUCGGCACGUCGCCACAUAAUCUCCUAUCCCCUAGCGUAGCUGCUACUUACCACAUGGUGAGAUUUAUGGAGUUUUUUUCCCUCCCGAAUGAAGGAUUUGAAAUUCCCUGAUCUUACAGCCAUUUUCCCUGUUUUCUCUGUGUCUGGUUCGAUGACGUCACUUUUGUGAAGCGCAUUUGUAGUCCUGGCCUUAUUUUCACACAAAAUCUAAAAUAGUGUUUCCCCCAUUCAAAAAUAAGCACAAUCUUAGUAUCAAAAAGCUUCUUUAAAAUUCACGGACAUCUUAUGUGAAAUCCAUGGAACAUAACAAGCGGAAUGAGAAAACUGCGUUUUUAGCCCCAUUGACUUGCAUUCACUUUUUUUGUUUUUCCGGGGACCCAUGGUCUGAAAGUAGAUGGGCGUGACUUAGGCUCCCUAUAAGCCUGAAGGAGUUCUGCCAUGUUGUGGAGUUGCUAAAGCUAACAGUUAGCUUCUGUUAGCCAAGAAGUUCUUUGCAGUUUCAUGGCCUUCCUCACCGUGAGUUAAGAUGGGUGAGUCCAUGAAUUUCAGUAGCCCUUUUUAGAAGACACACCAAUUCAGCGUAAUCCUGCCGCCACGGUGUGUCCUAUAAAUGUGCCGUGGCAGCAUGGCAUUCAGGUCUCAAAUGGCACAGUUUGGCAUCAUCUGUGACAUUUGACUUUUCUCUUGUAUACCAUACAUUUCUAAUUAUUAUGUGGCUACAUAGAUUCAGUGUUUUUUUCUUUACAUUUUGGGGAAAUUUAGAAUUUUUACCCCUAUAUAUUCAUUUACUUCCUUGAUGAAUAAUAUUGACAUAACUGAAUUUUGAUUCCAAAUAGAAUUGAUUUAUUGAUAACAAAUUGUAAAUAUUUGAAAACUAAACACAUAUAUGAACCAAACAUAUAUCAAGCUUUUAUAAACAGUAAAAAAAACUAUGCUUUCAUGAUGUAGGAGACCUUUAUCUAUUCACAUAGUGGUGUCCCGUGUUCUCCUACGGCAACUACAGGGUAUAACACUCUUCCACGGAGGUUCUUCAGUUGUCCAACCUUUUAGCCUUCUUUGUAAACAAUGUAAAGUAAUUCUGUGACAAAUAAAGUUGUUUUAAACUGCU